rnacentral:misc_RNA from 1 species
UUAACUAUUAUAUAGUACUCAGACGACAUUAAUAAACAGAGUUUGUGGUCCUCUGGCGAGCGCACACCAGCAAGAAGCCGGUGGCCGAAGCGGCUCGCCAAAGCAACAAAGGUGUUAAUAACAUAGGGUUGGAGAGUCACCCGUGAGGGCGAUGUUCUCUGUAAUGAUCCCUCCGCAGGUUCACCUACGGAGA